GAUGAACGCUGGCGGCGUGCCUAAUACAUGCAAGUCGAGCGAAUGGAUUGAGAGCUUGCUCUUAUGAAGUUAGCGGCGGACGGGUGAGUAACACGUGGGUAACCUGCCCAUAAGACUGGAUAACUCCGGGAAACCGGGGCUAAUACCGGAUAACAUUUUGAACCGCAUGGUUCGAACUUGAAAGGCGGCUUCGGCUGUCACUUAUGGAUGGACCCGGGUCGCAUUAGCUAGUUGGUGAGGUAACGGCUCACCAAGGCAACGAUGCGUAGCCGACCUGAGAGGGUGAUCGGCCACACUGGGACUGAGACACGGCCCAGACCCCUACGGGAGGCAGCAGUAGGGAAUCUUCCGCAAUGGACGAAAGUCUGACGGAGCAACGCCGCGUGAGUGAUGAAGGCUUUCGGGUCGUAAAACUCUGUUGUUAGGGAAGAACAAGUGCUAGUUGAAUAAGCUGGCACCUUGACGGUACCUAACCAGAAAGCCACGACUAACUACGUGCCAGCAGCCGCCGUAA
rnacentral:rRNA from 1 species